rnacentral:lncRNA from 1 species
CUGUUUUCAACGUCUGCUGUGCAAGUGUGAGGGAUUCACCGGCGCUGUUGUUCACGAAUCCCUUUCUAGUGGACUUGGCUAGACUAAUUGCAGAGGAUAAGUCAGCAGAGAUUGCAACGUGGAAUCCGGGUGAAGACUUAACGCAUUCAGUUCCCUUUCAACCGGCCUCUUUACCAGCUAAGCCACGUCACCCCUCGUCUAUUAACUUCUUUAAUGCGGGAAAGGGGGGAUAAGCUUGACCGAGGAAACUUGCUUGACUUCGAGUGAAAGGCAAUCAAUCUCUAGCUUUCGACUAAGCUAAGAAGGAGAUAGGAUAGGAUCAAUCUAACUAAAAAGUACCUUCCCUAGGGCAAGACAUCCCAAGGAAAGAAAAUGAAAAUAAAGGAAAGAACUAAAGCUGGAGUGGAGACUGAGGGCAGGCAAGCUUGAAGAGGGCGUCAGGCCGGAGAAAGGUGCCACCGGAACGGAAUCAGGAGCAGGGCGGGAAGCUUAAGAAAGAGAUCCUGGAGGAAGUAUAGAUAUAUAAAUAACAAACAAGUUCCGCUGCCAUAUUUUAUUUCAUUUUUUCCUCCGGAUCAAAGCAAUUUUGUCCUAACAGAAGUCUCCGUCAAGCCUCUCCCUACUAUUUGUUUAUAUUGUGUGCAGAGACGCCAUUUGUCUUUAAGCUCUAGGCCAGUUAGAAAGGUUAUGACAUGUGGAUCCGGACUCACAGGAUUAUGCCGGCUGGCCCUUCCGUUCAGUAAGGGAAUACAAGUAUUACAGGGAGUUUUUUAAUAGGAAUAUGACUCAAGUCAAGCGAAGCGUAGAAUAUAUUUCUAAACAAUAAAUAAUUUGGAACACAAUACCUACCCAACUCCUAAAC